UACGGGGGGGGCAAGCGUUGUUCGGAAUUACUGGGCGUAAAGCGCACGUAGGCGGCGACGUAAGUUGGGUGUGAAAUCCCUCGGCCCAACCGGGGAACGGCCGGGCAUACUGGCGGUCUUGAGCGGCCUAGGGGCAGAUGGAACAGGCGGUGGAGCGGUGAAAUGCGUAGAUAUCGCCUGGAACGCCGACGGUGAAAACAGUCUGCUGGGGGCUCGCUGACGCUGAGACACGAAAGCCAGGGGAGCGAACGGG
rnacentral:rRNA from 1 species